rnacentral:hammerhead_ribozyme from 1 species
AUCCAGCUGAUGAGUCCUAAAUAGGACGAAACGCGUGUCCUGGAU